AAUAUGGAUAUCGUGUCCGAGGUUCUCGAGGGUGCAGAUAACGAUUUUGUGAUCAUUUUUGAAAUCCAAGAUGGCCGCCGCACAAAAUUAUGAUUUCAGCAAUAUGGAUAUCGUGUCCGAGGUUCUCGAGGGUGCAGAUAACGAUUUUGUGAUCAUUUUUGAAAUCCAAGAUGGCCGCCGCACAAAAUUAUGAUUUCAGCAAUAUGGAUAUCGUGUCCGAGGUUCUCGAGGGUGCAGAUAACGAUUUUGUGAUCAUUUUUGAAAUCCAAGAUGGCCGCCGCACAAAAUUAUGAUUUCAGCAAUAUGGAUAUCGUGUCCGAGGUU